UUAUUGUAUCUGCAUAUGGGAUUCACCAGCUCCAUGUAUUUGUCUCUUUGCUAGCAGUUUUUCAUGUGCUCUACUGCAUCACAACCUUGGCUUUGGGAAGACACAAGGGGCUUAUGAUGAAGAAUAAUCUGCAGCAAGAGCAUAUGAUUUGGCAGGACUCAAGUAGUGGGGAACAUCAACUUUUACAAAUUUUCCGGUGUCUGUGUAUGAGAAUGAAAUUGAUCUAUUGAACACUAACAAAAAGAAGAGUACUCGGUCUCUCUAAGAAGGAGAAGCAGUGGCUUUUCAAGAGGCCGGUGUAUCCAAGUAUAGAGGAGUUGCAACUUGCAAGGAAUUGGAAACGAAAACACAUAAAUGUUUGAAAAAAGAAAAGGUCAUCUCAAAAACCAAGUAGUGGAACAAGAAGAAGAAGCUGCAUAUAUACAGAGAGAAAAUGGUAGCGAAAUGGGCCUUCACUCACCCGUAGCAAAGCGCAGACUGUCUCACUAGUACUUACAAUAGGUAGAGCCUUUAGAAUAAUAAGCAGCUUAGUUGAUAUUUCAAAAGUUCAAAUCUAGUCCUACAUA